UUAGAAUAGAUCACAAUGGAGCAUGGGAAAGGAGUGCGAAGAGAAAGGAGCAGGAGAGAGAAGCUGCUGUAUAUUGACUAUAACUUCCCACCCCGCACCACUCAGGGUGGGGAGAGGGGUCUGAGGUGAAGGAGUGAAGUAGAGCAUGGGAAAGGAAGGAAGAAAUAGUGCUCCUUUACUAUUUGUCUUCUUGUUUCCCAGUACACCAAUUAGUAAUUAAAUGUUUUACUUGGCAAGAAAGAAAUGUCACUUGCUAGCUUGGUUGGUGGACUUUAUCCUCCAGGGUCUAAGGCACCAAGAAAAGUGGUGAAGAGAGAGGAGCAGGAGAGAGAAGCUGCUGUAUAUUGACUAUAACCUUCCUAUGUGGCCCGCCAUAUUCUAGAGAUUUCAACAUCUGAAGCCAGUCCACAUGAUGAGUGGACUGCCUGAAAGUCUGGAAUCACUGAGGCUAUUAGCCUGCUAAUACACAUACACAAACUAUUUAACAAAGCAUUCAGCAAAGACUCACUGAAAUUUCAGACUGUAAUCAUGUUGUUCCUGUCUGUCAGUUUCUAUACAACCUUGAGGCCAAAAACACAGGUGGACAAAAUGAAUAAAUAAAUAAAUAAUCCCCGUAUCUUUGAGGUUUAUUGAGUGCCUCAUUAUGGACUACUUGUGUGUUUUUCCAAAUCUAAAGGACUAUUCAGUACUGAGUAAUAUUUAUUAAUUCUUCUUGAUGUGUUCUGGGGCAAGCAAUUCCAAACCCUCUUUCCAUCAUUACCAAGCAUAUGUCCUCUUCUCUUAUGCUUAUGGGGAAAACAGAUCGCAUAAUAAGCUAUAGAAUUUCCUUUAACAUGCAACAGGAAGCUUCAUUUGCACAUUUUUACUUUAGUAGAUUAAACAUGUGCUGCCAUACUUAUUUUACUUAUAUAUAUAUAUAUAUAUAUAUACAUAUUAUUCAAAUGUUAGAGGUCAUUACAGUCAUUGUAGUGCGUUUUAUGUUGUUGCUCAAAUUCCACUUCAGUUUUCUCAUGUAUCAUAUAUAUUGACUAACAAAUCCCUGAAUUUCUGCUUAAAACCAGAGAUGGGAAAAUAAAAAGAUGAUUAACUAAUAUGGCAGAUUUAGUUCUGAUGAU